UACGUAGGGUGCGAGCGUUGUCCGGAAUUACUGGGCGUAAAGAGCUCGUAGGUGGUUUGUCGCGUUGUUCGUGAAAACUCACAACUCAAUUGUGGGCGUGCGGGCGAUACGGGCAGACUGGAGUACUGCAGGGGAGACUGGAAUUCCUGGUGUAGCGGUGGAAUGCGCAGAGUAUCAGGAGGAACACCGGUGGCGAAGGCGGGGUCUCUGGGC
rnacentral:rRNA from 1 species